CUUUGUCGAAGCUAGAGGACCGGCAGGCGGCAGCAGCAACUACGGCGGCGGCGGCAGAACCCAGCAGUGAUGUGGAGGUGGAGACCCACAGGAGCCCCGGACUUCACCUGAGCUACCUCAGGUAUCAAUUCUGGGAGAGUUGGGUGGGGAGGAGCAUCAUAACAUUAUCUGCUGCUGGUGCGACUUGCAACGUGAGCCAGGCUUGGAUAGAUGGCAUUUGUACUUCACCCGGUCAUUCCCCUUUACUAAAAGUUUGUAUCUUCUUUUACCACUUCUUUCCUUGAUUGCUUCUAUUCUAGGACUACCUCUCUUUAGAGGAGGAGGACCCUCUUACAGAUUCUCUUGUAACUCUGGCCUCUGGUUUGGUUAGUUCAUUUUAGGGAGAUCUGAAGGCAAAGUCACAGCAGUGGGGUGGGGGUGGGUCAAGGCCAAAGUAAUCAGGAAAGAUUCCCUUAUGCUCAAAGGGAACAAUAUGAAGUUUUCCUAUUUCAGCAGCAGGGGGAGCCUGAACACCGCAUAGGAAAGGUUUGGGAGGUCAGACACGUGGUAGCAGGGACUCCAGGUCUUACUGGGGGUGGAGAGAGG
rnacentral:sRNA from 1 species